GGGGUUGUGGCUCAGGGGUAGAGUGCAUGCCUAGCACGUGUGAGGAACUGGGUUCAAUUCUCAACACCACA
rnacentral:tRNA from 1 species